rnacentral:misc_RNA from 1 species
AAGUAAGACUACGGAAGAUGAGUUUUGAGCCCUAGUUAUGGAUUUGGGGAAUAGUAAGGCUUACUGCGGGCUUUGGGGGCUUUAUGCCAGCCCAGGUCCUAGUGUCGGUCAAGCCCAUGGGAUCGAGUCGUGACAUUUACAUUCAAGCAUAGCAAUUCCACCUCGGGAGAGAUCGUUGGCAAGAUUUUUGGAAGAGAUUCUCAGUCGAAGUUCCAAAAGUUCAUAGCUACAAAAUUCUCAUUCUGAGUUUCUUCAUUUUAUUUCUUCUGAUAUGUUUUUUUUUUUAUUUUCUUAUUUUAAUUUUGAUUG